UUCAGAUUUGUGAGGAUUUCCUGUUGCAAAAGCUUGGCAUUCACUGAUGUUCCCCGGUGGCGCAGAAAGCCGGGAGCAGUGGGUUGCUGCAACAGUUUGGCCUGAAGAUUCUCCCCAUGGACAGAGCAGAUGGUGAUUUUAAUUUGUGCCCUACGAAAGGUGAGAGCCACAAAUCAGUCCUGAGCAGAAGCGAAAGGCUAACUGACCAUCAGUGUUCC
rnacentral:lncRNA from 1 species